rnacentral:rRNA from 1 species
CGCGUGGGAAUCUACCUUUUGCUACGGAAUAACGCAGGGAAACUUGUGCUAAUACCGUAUGUGUCCUUCGGGAGAAAGAUUUAUCGGCAAGAGAUGAGCCCGCGUUGGAUUAGCUAGUUGGUGGGGUAAAGGCCUACCAAGGCGACGAUCCAUAGCUGGUCUGAGAGGAUGAUCAGCCACAUUGGGACUGAGACACGGCCCAAACUCCUACGGGAGGCAGCAGUGGGGAAUAUUGGACAAUGGGCGCAAGCCUGAUCCAGCCAUGCCGCGUGAGUGAUGAAGGCCCUAGGGUUGUAAAGCUCUUUCACCGGAGAAGAUAAUGACGGUAUCCGGAGAAGAAGCCCCGGCUAACUUCGUGCCAGCAGCCGCGGUAAUACGAAGGGGGCUAGCGUUGUUCGGAAUUACUGGGCGUAAAGCGCACGUAGGCGGAUCGAUCAGUCAGGGGUGAAAUCCCAGGGCUCAACCCUGGAACUGCCUUUGAUACUGUCGAUCUGGAGUAUGGAAGAGGUGAGUGGAAUUCCGAGUGUAGAGGUGA